rnacentral:rRNA from 1 species
ACGAGUUAUCUGAACCUUCGGGGGACGAUAACGGCGUCGAGCGGCGGACGGGUGAGUAAUGCCUAGGAAAAUUGCCCUGAUGUGGGGGAUAACCAUUGGAAACGAUGGCUAAUACCGCAUAAUACCUWCGGGUCAAAAGAGGGGGACCUUCGGGCCUCUCGCGUCAGGAUAUGCCUAGGUGGGAUUAGCUAGUUGGUGAGGUAAUGGCUCACCAAGGCGACGAUCCCUAGCUGGUCUGAGAGGAUGAUCAGCCACACUGGAACUGAGACACGGUCCAGACUCCUACGGGAGGCAGCAGUGGGGAAUAUUGCACAAUGGGCGCAAGCCUGAUGCAGCCAUGCCGCGUGUGUGAAGAAGGCCUUCGGGUUGUAAAGCACUUUCAGUCGUGAGGAAGGUAGUGUAGUUAAUAGCUGCAUUAUUUGACGUUAGCGACAGAAGAAGCACCGGCUAACU